rnacentral:lncRNA from 1 species
ACGAAUGUCACAUGGACAUCAAUGCUGGUGAGGUAGACUCCUCCUUCUCCAAUCCAGCUCGUCGGCAGUUGCAAAUUUUCCGGCAAAGUCCCUAGCCCUCAGAUCAAGUUUGAUCUCACUCCCAUCUCUAUUUAACCCCCUGAUUUCUCAACCCUAGGUCUCUACCGAUCCUCCCUGUAGUCAAGAGCACCAUCAACCCUUGUUUUAAGCCUCUCUGGCUCACCGUCGUAACUCGCCGACGACUCUUCUCAUCUACUUCCCAGAAUCCGGGAACUACAAAGGUGAGCUUGAGGCCUUGAUUAAUCCUUUGUAUUCUUUAGGAUUCCAUGGCUUUUCGUGAUUUAUAGCUUGACUCGUUCAAAUUGUUGGUUGAUUCAAGGAGCUCACGACAAACUUUUGAC